GCGCCUGUGGCGAAAUUGGUAGACGCGCUAGACUUAGGAUCUAGUAUCUUCGGAUGUACAGGUUCGACUCCUGCCAGGCGUACCA
rnacentral:tRNA from 1 species